GCAGUCGAGCGGUAAGGCCCUUCGGGGUACACGAGCGGCGAAGGGUGAGUAACACGUGGGUGAUCUGCCUCGCACUCUGGGAUAAGCCUGGGAAACUGGGUCUAAUACCGGAUAUGACCACGGAUCGCAUGGUUUGUGGUGGAAAGAUUUAUCGGUGCGAGAUGGGCCCGCGGCCUAUCAGCUUGUUGGUGGGGUAAUGGCCUACCAAGGCGACGACGGGUAGCCGACCUGAGAGGGUGACCGGCCACACUGGGACUGAGACACGGCCCAGACUCCUACGGGAGGCAGCAGUGGGGAAUAUUGCACAAUGGGCGAAAGCCUGAUGCAGCGACGCCGCGUGAGGGAUGACGGCCUUCGGGUUGUAAACCUCUUUCGACAGGGACGAAGCGCAAGUGACGGUACCUGUAGAAGAAGCACCGGCCAACUACGUGCCAGCAGCCGCGGUAAUACGUAGGGUGCGAGCGUUGUCCGGAAUUACUGGGCGUAAAGAGCUUGUAGGCGGUUCGUCGCGUCGAUUGUGAAAACUUGCAGCUCAACUGCAAGCUUGCAGUCGAUACGGGCGGACUAGAGUACUUCAGGGGAGACUGGAAUUCCUGGUGUAGCGGUGAAAUGCGCAGAUAUCAGGAGGAACACCGGUGGCGAAGGCGGGUCUCUGGGAAGUAACUGACGCUGAGAAGCGAAAGCGUGGGUAGCGAACAGGAUUAGAUACCCUGGUAGUCCACGCCGUAAACGGUGGGUACUAGGUGUGGGUUUCCUUCCACGGGAUCCGUGCCGUAGCUAACGCAUUAAGUACCCCGCCCGGGGAGUACGGCCGCAAGGCUAAAACUCAAAGGAAUUGACGGGGGCCCGCACAAGCGGCGGAGCAGGUGGAUUAAUUCGAUGCAACGCGAAGAACCUUACCUGGGUUUGACAUACACCAGAAAGCCGUAAAGAUACGGCCCCCCUUGUGGUUGGUGUACAGGUGGUGCAUGGCUGUCGUCAGCUCGUGUCGUGAGAUGUUGGGUUAAGUCCCGCAACGAGCGCAACCCUUAUCUUAUGUUGCCCGCGCGUAAUGGCGGGGACUCGUGAGAGACUGCCGGGGUCAACUCGGAGGAAGGUGGGGACGACGUCAAGUCAUCAUGCCCCUUAUGUCCAGGGCUUCACACAUGCUACAAUGGCCGGUACAGAGGGCUGCGAUACCGUGAGGUGGAGCGAAUCCCUUAAAGCCGGUCUCAGUUCGGAUCGGGGUCUGCAACUCGACCCCGUGAAGUUGGAGUCGCUAGUAAUCGCAGAUCAGCAACGCUGCGGUGAAUACGUUCCCGGGCCUUGUACACACCGCCCGUCACGUCAUGAAAGUCGGUAACACCCGAAGCCGGU
rnacentral:rRNA from 1 species